rnacentral:tRNA from 1 species
GUGAGCGUAGUUCAGUUGGUUAGAGCGUCAGAUUGUGGUUCUGAAUGUCGUGGGUUCGAGUCCCACCCCUCACCCCA